AGGAGACAAUGGAGGAGACUGAGAAGGAAAUUCUUAAACAGAUGCUGGAUUUCAUUCUUUUAUAAGAAAGAAUAUCGCUUACCAUAUACUUCCACAUGGACAUUUCGGAACACUGAACCAAGGCGAUUAGAAGCAGUCACCGUGUCCAGCAAGAUUUUCAGCCAGCACACGGAAUCGGUAUUUUUUCUUAUUUGUGAGACCUUUCACUCUGAAUUAGGAACAAAAUGAUCUAAUCGUUCAACCCAGUAUCCUGUGAUGGGGCUGCCACCAUCAUCAUCUGGCUCACACCAUGUGAGGGUCACUGCAUCUUUAG